CAAAACCUACGGGGCGCAGCAGUGGGGAAUAUUGGGCAAUGGAGGAAACUCUUACCCAGCAAUGCCGCGUGAGUGAAGAAGGUCUUCGGAUUGUAAAGCUCUUUGAUUGGGGAUGAAUAAAUGACGGUACCUGACUAAGAAGCCCCGGCUAACUACGUGCCAGCAGCCGCGGUAAUACGUAGGGGGCAAGCGUUAUCCGGAUUUACUGGGUGUAAAGGGAGCGUAGACGGCGGCGCAAGUCCGGAGUGAAAGCCCACGGCCCAACCGUGGGACUGCUCUGGAAACUGUGCGGCUUGAGCGCGGGG
rnacentral:rRNA from 1 species